UACGUAGGGGGCAAGCGUUGUCCGGAUUCAUUGGGCGUAAAGAGCGUGUAGGCGGCCAGGUAGGUCGGUUGUGAAAACUGGAGGCUCAACCUUCAGAGGUCGACCGAAACCAUCUGGCUAGAGUCCGGGAGAGGAGAGUGGAAUUCCUGGUGUAGCGGUGAAAUGCGCAGAUAUCAGGAGGAACACCGGUGGCGAAGGCGGAUCUCUGGGCCAAUACUGACGCUGAGGAGCGAAAGCGUGGGGAGCGAACAGG
rnacentral:rRNA from 1 species